rnacentral:misc_RNA from 1 species
GUUAAUAAAAAUCGGGUGCGUUGCAAUUUUUGUGACGUUUCCGGAGUUUGAGUUAUCUUAAUUAACUUCGGUUUUAAGAGGCUUAAAAUUGACCUUUUUUUGUGCAUUUUAGACGUACAUAAAUUUUUUUUUAUUCGUCCAUCCUAAUGCCAAAAUCUAUUAGAUGCGACCAUAUCUUGUGGUUCCGUGUCCAUAAAUUUUUCAUGAU